rnacentral:rRNA from 1 species
AACGUAGGAAUCAAGCGUUAUCCGAAUUCACUGGGCGUAAAGCGCGUGCAGGCGGCUGGGUAAGUUGGAUGUGAAAUCUCCUGGCUCAACUGGGAGAGGCCGUUCAAUACUACCUGGCUUGAGGGCGACAGAGGGAGGUGGAAUUCCGGGUGUAGUGGUGAAAUGCGUAGAUAUCCGGAGGAACACCAGAGGCGAAGGCGACCUCCUGGGUCGUACCUGACGCUGAGAUGCGAAAGCUAGGGGAGCAAACGGG